UAAAAAAGGAGAGAGAAGGAAAAUGAACAG
rnacentral:sRNA from 1 species